CCCUUCUUCUUUUUUCUUCAAUUUCUCACUCUCUGUUCUUCUUAUUGUUAUUUUCCCUCUUAUUGUUUUGGGAAAUUAGAUUGAAUUACAGUCAUAAUUUGCUUGUGCGGCAUCAUCAAGAUUCACAACAAAAUAAGAAAUAAAUAAAGAAAAAAGAAAGGAAACCCUAAUUAUUUGUUUUUUAAAAUUUUGUUUUUGUGGGAUUGAUUUGUUUGGAAGAUGAUUUUGAUUGAGAAUCUUGAUGAUGCUGCAUUAGCAAUAACAUCAAUGGCUAUGUAUAUCUUGGGAUCUCAAUAAUCUCAAACAUCUAGAGAUGAAACCAACAUUCUAUUAGUCAACUACGCAAAUCUACGCUUUGAUUACAGCUUAUUAAUUAUAUUUAAUAUGUCGCGACGUGAUCGGGACUCGGAGCAGUCGACAUCCCUAAUAAUUUAAUCUUUAAUAUUUAAAAGGUUUGGAGUCGCCACCAAUCAUAUUAAGGUGUGAUUGGUCAUAAAAAAAAUUGAUGUAAAUUCAGAUUUAAGGUUCGGGAGUCAGUUGUAUGUAGGGAAGGUAUUAGCACCCAUAAAAAUGAUUACCAAAAUUUAUCUUUUAAACUAAAUUAAAGAGUUUCACAAAACAAAGUUUUUUGUUUGAUAUUUUUUAAAUGUCCUAUGCAAUUGAUGAUUACAUGGGUGGUGGCAUGGGAGCCAUUAGAAAAAUAGAAUUUAAUUUUUAUUUAA